rnacentral:rRNA from 1 species
ACGGCGAGUGAAGCGGCAACAGCUCAAAUUUGAAAUCUGGCCUCGUGCCCGAGUUGUACUUUGGAGAGGAUGCUUUUGGUGACGUGCCUUCUGAGUUCCCUGGAACGGGACGCCAUAGAGGGUGAGAGCCCCGUAUAGUCGGACACUGAGCCUCUGUAAAGCGCCUUCGACGAGUCGAGUAGUUUGGGAAUGCUGCUCAAAAUGGGAGGUAAAUCCCUUCUAAAGCUAAAUAUCGGCCAGAGACCGAUAGCGCACAAGUAGAGUGAUCGAAAGAUGAAAAGCACUUUGAAAAGAGGGUUAAACAGCACGUGAAAUUGUUGAAAGGGAAGCGCUCGUGACCAGACUUGCGCCGUCCGAAUCAUCCAGCGUUCUCGCUGGUUCAUUUUAGGCGGCUCAGGCCAGCAUCGGUUUCUCUAGGGGGACAAAAGCUCAGGGAAUGUGGCUCCUCCGGGAGUGUUAUAGCCCUCUGCACAAUGCCCCUGGGGGGACCGAGGCUCGCGCUCUGCAAAGAUGCUGGCGUAAUGGUCAUCAGCGGCCCGUCUUGAAACACGGACCAAGGAGUUAAGCAUUAGGGCGAGUGUUUGGGUGCAAAACCCGCACGCGUAAUGAACGUGAACGCUGGUGAGAGCUUCUAGCGCAUCAUCGACCGAUCCUGAAGUGCUCUGAUGGAUUUGAGUAAGAGCCUUACCGCUUAGACCCGAAAGAUGGUGAACUAUGCCUGCGUAGGGUGAAGCCAGAGGAAACUCUGGUGGAGGCUCGCAGCGGUUCUGACGUGCAAAUCGAUCGUCAA